CCGGUUUCCUACCUGGUGCACAGCUUCCAUUCACUUUAACCUAUAAUGAAAUUAUCUUUUAAAACACUAAGUAAGUUUUUUUUUGGAUCAACAAUAUAAAAUGUUUUGAACGCUUCGAUGUGGCAUGUCGGAUCCGGUCAUAACAUCUGGGCCGGGUUUGGGGUGCUACAUCAAGGACCUAAGACAUAAAUAUCUCAAGCUUCAAAACGCAACAUUCAAAUAAGGACUAAACCGUGACAAUGUGUAAAUCUCAGGGAAAAUAAAAAACAAAUAGAACAUGAUUGAGGCUUAAUUAAAGAUUGGCGCAAAAGGGGAGGGACCAAAUGCGCAAUUCACCCAGAGUAGCUAAUUGGCCUCUAAAGACUAAACGGUGACGUCUUUAUUUUGUCAUUAAACCUUAAAAAAUUGUUUGAAUGGCUCUCUGUCGUUUUCUACAGCAAUUGAAGCAAAAUCCUUCCCCAUAAGCCAAAUCCCUAGCCUCUCUUGAUUUUCCCUCAAUCGAUUCUAACACCCCCUUUUUAAGCACCGAUCUACCUCUAUCAAUGGUGACGAGUAGAUUCGGGCUUCAAGGGACGACCAUCUAGGCCACGAGGUUCCAUCUACACUCCAAUUUCAACGAAGAAGACGGAGUCUCUUAGCACAUUCGCAAGGUAAAUCUCUUGCUUUCUCUUUAUUUUCAAAUGCAUAUAAACUCUAAUGAAAGAUUAAUGGAAUCGAAAGAGAAAAAGAAGAAAAAAUAUUUGAAUACCUUUUCAAUUUUUUUGAUUGCUGUUUUUAAUAUUCGUGUAUAUAUUUGGGGAAAGAAGAUCCCCUUCCAUGUACAUUCAGUAGCUUUUUAUAGCCUAAAAAUGAGAAUAAAUAAGAAAGAAAAGAAAAAAAAAUCAAAUUGCUUUGCUGUAAAUUGCUGUGUAUUCUGUUAAUCCGCUUCUUCUCGCAGGUUCGACUGUACGGAGGAAAGCCACUCGUGGGGAAGCUGCGAUACGUGCGAGCAGCAGUUUGGUGACUUGGGAUUUCCAGAGUCUUCCCCCAUUCGGGCUGUUUGGGCUAAUUUCGGUAUUGGGCCUACUAGGGUAUUAGUUUAUUUCGGCUAGAAUUUAAAUUUAAUGUUUGAGUCAGAUAUUAAUUUGGUUAAUUGGGUCAUGGGCUAAUGGACUUUUAUUGUAUUGGUUUAUUAUUGUUUUUUAAUUUUUGGUUUUUUGGUUUUCUAACGGGCCCGGGCAAAAUGGGCCUAUUACAACUGUAAUUGUUUUGCUAUUCUAUUUCCAUACAUUUAUAUAGUAUUAUAUAAAAUUUUUAUCUGAUAAUUUUUGCUAUUUGAAUAUAUCAUUAAGUACAAGUGGUUGUCCGUAAAGUCAAGCAGUUUUAGGAAAUGAGGUAUCUGGACCUUAUUUUUAUAAAUCGAG
rnacentral:lncRNA from 1 species